rnacentral:rRNA from 1 species
UCGGUUGCUCGAGAGCCUGUUGUUUGAAGAGGAGUCCGCGUCCUAUCAGCUUGUUGGUGAGGUAAUGGCUCACCAAGGCAUUUGACGGGUAGCUGGUCUAAGAGGAUGGUCAGCCACACUGGGACUGAGACACUGCCCAGACUCCUACGGGAGGCUGCAGUCGAGAAUCUUUUGCAAUGGGCGAAAGCCUGACAAUGCGACGCCGCGUGAGCGAUGAAGGUCUUCGGAUUGUAAAGCUCUGUUGCAGGGGAUGAAAGCAUUUGAUAUGAAUAGUGUCAAGUGUUGACAGUACCCUGAGAGGAAGCCACGGCUAACUCCGUGCCAGCAGCCGCGGUAAUACGGAGGUGGCAAGCGUUGUUCGGAUUGAUUGGGCGUAAAGGGCAUGUAGGCGUCCUGGUAAGUCGAAUGUGAAAUCCCGCAGCUCAACUGCGGAACUACAUUCGAAACUGCCGGGAUUGAGUACGGAAGGGGAGAAUGGAAUUCCCGGUGUAAGGGUGAAAUCUGUAGAUAUCGGGAGGAACACCAGUGGCGAAGGCGAUUCUCUGGUCCGAUACUGACGUUGAAAUGCGAAAGCUAGGGGAGCAAACAGGAUUAGAUACCCUGGUAGUCCUAGCCGUAAACGAUGGACACUAGGUGUUGGUCCGAAAGGAUCGGUGCCGCAGUUAACGCAUUAAGUGUCCCACCUGGGGAGUACGUCGGCAACGAUGAAACUCAAAGGAAUUGACGGGGGCUCACACAAGCGGUGG